rnacentral:misc_RNA from 1 species
GAAAUGCGAUAAGUAGUGUGAAUUGCAGAAUUCAGUGAAUCAUCGAAUCUUUGAACGCACAUUGCGCCCCUUGGUAUUCCAUGGGGCUUGCCUGUUCGAGCGUCAUUUGUACCCUCAAGCUUUGCUUGGUGUUGGGCGUCUUGUCGGAAUAUCCGACUCGCCUUAAAUACAUUGGCAGCCGGCACUUUGGCCUAGGAGCGCAGCACAUUUUGCGAUCGUAAGCCGUUGUGACAGCAUCCAUAAGAUUUAUUUUACCACGUUUGACCUCGGAUCAGGUAGGGAUACCCGCUGAACUUAAGC